rnacentral:tRNA from 1 species
GGCAUGGUGGCUCAGUGGUUAGAGCGCCCGCCUCAUGAGCGGGAGGUCGUGGGUUCGAACCCCGGCCGAGUCA